rnacentral:rRNA from 1 species
AAGGCUCGUAGUUGGAUUUCGGGUGGGCUGCGCCGGUCUCCUAACGGUUGUACUGGCGACGCCUGCCUUGCUGCCGGGGACGGGCUCCUGGCCUUAACUGUCCGGGACCCGGAAUCGGCGACGUUACUUUGAGUAAAUUAGAGUGUUCAAAGCAAGCCUACGCUCUGAAUAUAAUAGCAUGGGAUAACACGACAGGACUCUGGCCUAUCGUGUUGGUCUGUAGGACCAGAGUAAUGAUUAAGAGGGACAGUCGGGGGCAUUCGUAUUCCGUUGUCAGAGGUGAAAUUCUUGGAUUUACGGAAGACGAACAUCUGCGAAAGCAUUUGCCAAGGAUGUUUUCAUUGAUCAAGAACGAAAGUUGGGGGCUCGAAAACCAUUAGAUACCGUCGUAGUCUCAACCAUAAACGAUGCCGACUAGGGAUUGGCGGAAGUUCUUUUGAUGACUCCGCCAGCACCUCAUGAGAAAUCAAAGUUUUUGGGUUCCGGGGGGAGUAUGGUCGCAAGGCUGAAACUUAAAGGAAUUGACGGAAGGGCACCACCAGGCGUGAAGCCUGCGGCUUAAUUUGACUCAACACGGGAAAACUUACCAGGUCCAGACAUGCGAAGGAUUGACAGAUUGAAAGCUCUUUCUUGAUUGUAUGGGUGGUGGUGCAUGGCCGUUCUUAGUUGGUGGGUUGCCUUGUCAGGUUGAUUCCGGUAACGAACGAGACCUCAGCCUGCUAAAUAGGUUCGUCUGCUCCGGCAGUCGACUAUCUUCUUAGAGGGACUGUUGGCGUCUAGCCAAUGGAAGUAUGAGGCAAUAACAGGUCUGUGAUGCCCUUAGAUGUUCUGGGCCGCACGCGCGCUACACUGACACGUUCAACAAGUUCCUUGUCCGAAAGGUCUGGGUAAUCUUUGAAACCGUGUCGUGAUGGGGAUAGAACAUUGCAAUUAUUGUUCUUCAACGAGGAAUGCCUAGUAAGCGCGAGUCAUCAUCUCGCGUUGAUUACGUCCCUGCCCUUUGUACACACCGCCCGUCGCUCCUACCGAUUGAACGUGCUGGUGAAGCGUUAGGACUGGACUGUUGGCUAGGUUUCCUGGUCGGCAGUUCGGGAAUUUCGUUAAA